rnacentral:lncRNA from 1 species
UGUUCUAGUCAGUAAUUUUUUAUUAAAUUAAUUAAUUUUCAAGUGUUAAACCAAUCUCAAUCCCAUUUGGUCAUAUAUACGUUAUGGGUUGAAUCAUGCCUUUAAAAAAACUCAUGUUGAAAUUCUAACCCCAAUUACCUCAGAAUAUGACCUCAGUUGCAAAUAGGGUCAUUGCGGGAUGUAAUCCAAUAUAACUGGUAUUCUUAUAAAAGGAGAAAUUUGAACACAGACACAUAGAGGGAGAAUAUAAUGUGAAGAUUAGAGUUAUGGUGGCACAGACCAGAGAACUACCAGAACUUAGAAGAGAAGCCUGGAACAGAUUCUUCCUUCCUACCCUUAAGAUGAACCAACCCUGUCAACACAUUGGUCUUGGACUUUUAACCUCCAGAACUGUGAGACAGUAUUUUUGUUUAGUCACUCAUAUUUUUGGUACUUUCUUACAGCAGCCCUAGAAAACUUAUGUAGUCAUUUUUACAUAUGAUUGGAUUUAUUUUUUAAUAUUUUGUUGGAUUUUAUAUCUCUAUUCAUAACAGAGUUUGGUCUGUAUUUUUCCUUACUUGUGAUGUUUUUAGAUUUAUACUCUUAGCAUUUCUCUAGUAUGCCAUGUACAUCUUAAUUUAGUGGAACCGACUUCUGAUACAUACUAACUUAUUCCCCCUGAGUUACAGAAACUUUGCUCCUAUAUGAUUCUACUCCUUCUCAACCCUUUUUGUACUGUUAUUGAUAUAUCAUAUUAUAUAUUAUUACAACUCUAUGUUACAAACACAACAUUA